rnacentral:lncRNA from 1 species
CCCUCAUAUGGGCAUCUUUCCAAACAUCAGUUUAAUUCUCCUGAGAAAGGCUGCCUCUUUCUGUGAAUUCCCCAAAGUGAAUUUCAUAUGUACUACCGAGACCAUACAAUGUAUCAGGACAUCUAUAAUGAACAUUUGUUGGGUUUACCACCUGUAAUCAAGAUCUCAUCUUGUGGUUACAGAACUCUGAUUUUGUUUUGGGGGAUUCCCUUCUCCUACCUUUCUAUAUGUAUAAAGUUGAUUUCAUACCUGGCUCUGGGAGUGCACUUUUGGCCAAAUCCUCAUUCUAACAAUACAUUUUAUUAAUCGCUAUUUGUUCUGGCCACAGUUUGAUUCCAGAAUGGACACAGGAUCCAAGUCUGUGAAAUCAAGAUCUGUGAGAUUCUAUUCUAAGACUUUCUUAGAACUUUCUGAGACAAGGACUUUCCCUUUUCUCCUGGGUGUGGAGUUUUAAAGAUAAGUGUUCUAGAGCUGCUGCAGUCAUCUUGCAACUACAAGGACAGAGCAUAACUAAGAAUGGAUCCUAAUUAGAGGUGAACAAAAGUAGACCUAAAGAAAACAAAAGUAGGACCUAAAGAAAAAUUGUCUAGGUCCUGAUAACAGAUAUAUAUAAGCUUCUCAUCCAGCUGCUCCAAAAGCUAAAUAUUCAGAUUUUUUAGUUAUAUAGGCUCAUACAUUUACUUAUUGCUUAAUCAGUUCACCAUCUUAAACAUAACUUCCAACCUGGUUAAUACUUGUCCAGCUAUUACCAAAUGUAAACAAGCAUGAACAAAUGAGAGACAGAAAAUUAAUGUUGGUGAUAUAGAUUAUAAGUAAUGAGGAGUGUUCAGAUAUCGAGAUAAAACAUGCUUGUAUCAGUCAUUUGUUUAGUACUUAAGAUAGGUUUUACAACAUUUGAGAUAUGGCAGAUAUCUCAAAAUAUGAGGUGUCCAUAAAGUGUGCAAACAGAUACAUAUAACAAACUGUUGAUAUUACAUUACAGUUGAGUAAAAUAACAUUGUUUCACAUUAUAUAGACAACACUAUCAGACUUAAAUCCCUCUAAAAAUCUAGGUGGGAAUUCUAAGACUAAUUACUUUGCAACGAUAUUGAAAAAUACUUGGGUAUGUACUAGGCAGGAAAAUACCUACUGCAUACAAAGUAUUGUUUUGGUGAUUUAAAAGAUAGACAAAGGAAAUAAAGAGAGAAAGAGAGAGGGAGAGAACGAGAGAGAGAAGGAGGGAAGGAAGAAAGGAAGAAGAAAUAUUUUGUAUUUACUCUGUGCCAGAGUUCUGAGAACAUGGAGUCAAAAAAAAAAAAAGAAAACAAAAAAACAAAAAAAAAUACAACUCACUGUUCCUACCCUCAAGGAACUCAGUGAGGUAUAAAAGAUGAACAUAUAAACAACAAAAUUAUAUAUAAUAUAUAGGUUAGGUUAGUGAAAUGCAGGUAUAUGAGCCAGAUAUUAUAAGAACAGAGAAGCACAUCAAGUCGGUUUUUGAGGGAGAAAGCUUACCAGCACAGACUGACAGAUGCACAGCUGCAAGGACACCAGACAGGGGAGAUAGUUUCCAAACAAGUGGAAAAUAGGGCAGACAUCUCUUGAGGGAGGAAGACAACAAGAGACUUCAGAAGGGGUGGAUCCAACAAAAUCCAGUUUCCUCUCAAACUUACUUACCACGUCAGACAUUCCUCCUUUGGAGAGACUACUUGAGGAGUGACAAAGGCCAUAAAACGUUGGGCACAGGAAGAACACCAUGUGAACAUGAAGACAACCACCUACAAGCCAAAGAGAGAGGCCUCAGAGGAAACAACCAUGCUAACAUCUUCUUAUACUCUAGCCCCAAGAAAUGUGAGAAAAUAAAUUUCUGUUGUUUAAGCCAUUCUGUUCAAUCUGUGGUAGUUUGUUAUUGCAGCCUUAGCAGAUUAAUACAGUGAUAAAAGCAAAAACUGUAUCAAUAUAUAUAGCAGUGGCUUUCAAAUUUUCAAUAUAUAUAUAGCAGUGGCUUUCAAAAUUUCAAAUUUUUCACAAUCUACAAUAUGAAAUUAAUUUUACCACUCUACCCAGUAUGCAUAGACAGACAUAGCUGGAACAAAGAACAAAAUUUUUUCUUGCUAAUGUAUGUUGAUAUUUUUACUUGUUUGAUUGUAUUCCAUCAUUUCAUAUUAAGAAAGACACAAUAACUGAUUUUGCAACUGAUGAACUGGCCAAAUGUUAAAAAAUGCUAGAUAAGAAAUACUAUUAUUUGUUAAAACAACAACAAAGGCCCCAGCAAACUAGAUUCUUUGGAUAGAGGCAGAAGGGGCAUUUGUGAGCAUCUAUUUUUUAACUUUUUUUUUUUCCAAAAUAAAAUCUUAUGAGAAAAUCCAAUGUAUCAAACAGAUAAAUGCUGAGUUACUUUGGUAGACAGUGGUGGGGAGAGAAGUGGAGCCUUCCUACUUAUCCCUGACAGCCCUGAUGCAGCUCAACAGCACCAAUGGCUCUUGGGUACAGGACUUAAAAACCAAAUAUUUAUUCCACUCCUCUCAUUAUUUAGAAAGGGGGACAUUGGGGUAAGGGACAAAGCUGUUAGGAGGGCCAGGUGCAGUGGCCCAUACCUGUAAUCCCAACACUUUGGGAGGCUGAGGUGAGAGGAUCACUUGAGCCCAGGAGUUCUAGAUCAGCCUGGGCAACAUAGAAGACCCUGUCUCUAUAAAAAUUUUUUUUAAAUUUAAAAAAUUUGAAAGAUGUUAGGUGAUAUGGUUUGUGUCCCCACCCAAAUCUCAUCUUGAAUAGUAGCUCCCAUAAUUCCCACAUGUGUGGGAGGGACCAGGUAGGAGGUAAUUGAAUCGUGGGGACAGUUUGCCCCAUACUGUUCUUGUGAUAGUGACUAAGUCUCACAAGUUCUGAUGAUUUUUAUAGGGAGUUUCCCCUUUUGCUUGGCUCUCAUUUCUUCCUUGCUUGCUGCCAUGUAAGACAUACCUUUUCUCCUUCUGUGAUGAUUGUGAGGCCUCCCCACCCAUGUGGAACUGUGAGUCCAUUAAACCUCUUUUUCUUUAUAAAUUACCCAGUCUCGGGUAUGUCUUUAUCAGCAGCGUGAAAACAGACUAAUACAUUAGGAGAUUGAGAUUGCAAGUUCUAAGCGAGGAUUGUAUAGAUAUAGAUGUACCAUCAUUCUUCAAUAAUUGGGGAAGUGAGAAUCUCAAAUAUAAAAGAGGUCCAUCAAUAACAUCCAUCUCUUCUUUCCAUUAAAAUAAGAAAUAUAAAAGUAGAAAUAAUGCUUGGUAAAUGUGACACAUCUCCAGUAGGCUCAUAUACUAACUUAAAUCUUGUGCUGUUCCAUUGCCCUCUGCUGGAUGUUCUUAGUAUCUGUGGCCUCAAAACUAGAAGUUCUAGUAGUGGUAGUAGUCACAGCAAUAGUGAUUAUUAUCAUUAUUGUCAUUUUAGCAGCAGCCAUGUUGAGGUCAAGCACUGUGCCACAUGCUUUACAUCCAAAUCCUCCUAACAACUCUAUGGCUAGAUAAUGCUCUCUCAUUUUGUAGAUGUGGAACCUGGGGGUUCAGAGGUAAAUAAACAAACCAAGGUUACACAACUAAAAGUAAGAGACCCGGGAAUUAAAUAUUGGUUCUAAAGCCUAGGCCUUAAUUACUUGCUGUUCAUUAAACUUUCAAUCUGUCAGCUGUGUUGGUGAUAAAACUGGAAUGAUAUUACUAGUUGGGAUCUUUUGAUUCACUGAUUAUUAACAAUGGAAUCACAACGAUCUUUAUUCUAAAAAGCCAAAAAUUAUUAUCUUCCUAAAAUUACCAAAAAGGAAAAGCUUACUCCUCAACAGAGCAGGAGAGCAUGUUUUCAGAGUUUCUCAAAGUGUGAUUCAGGAAACUCCUGCAUUGGAAUCACAUGAGGUGCUACUUCAGGGCAGAAAAUCCUAUGCACCAGGAUGUAUUUUGGAGGUAGAGAGGACAGAGCUUGUUCCUGAGAGCUGGGAUAUGUGUUAGUGGAGUGAGUGUAGAGAGAAAGAGGAACAAAAGAUGGCUCCUAAAAUUUUUGGCUCAGGACAAAUUUUGAGGAGAGUAGUGGCAUUAACUGAGAUGAGAAAGAUUAUUAGAGGAGCAAGGGUUUUAAUUGUUAGUUCAGUUGUGGCAGUUACUUUUUUGGCAGCAGAUAUAAAACCAGGAGUUUGGGUUUAGAUAUUAUAUUUAUGUUGCCAUAUAGGUAACCAAAUAAAAAUGGUAGAGCUAACUACAAAUAACUUUUAAAAAUUCAGAUCUAUAUUUAAGAUCUAUUCAUGUUGUUUCACGUGUAUCUCUUUCUAAUUGCUGCAUAAUCCUUUGUAAGUCUAUCAGUAGUAAGAGACCAGAUUACUUCCAACUCCCGCCACCACAACCAACACAGCAGUGAGCAUCCUCCUAUACAAUCCUUUAAGGUCCUCUGCAUGUAUUCUUUUGUGGUAUAAACUCAGGAGUGAGGUAUACUCAAUUGGAUUCGAUACUGCCAGGUUACUCCCUAAAAUGGCUGUGCUGGUCUAUACCCUAUCAGCAGUGCACAAGAGUUCCUCUACCUUCACAUUUCUUUGAAUGCUAAUAACUAUCCAGCCUAAUUUUUCACUAGAUAAAGAGGCAUCUUAUUGUUUUAAUACAUAUCUCUCUGAUAAGUUUGAGUAUCUUUACACACUCGUUGGACUUUUGGGUUUCUGUAAAUUGCCUAUUAAUAUUUCAUUGUUUUUCUUUCUUUGCCAUGUGAUAACUACAUAUUUAUGGGAUAUAUAGUAGUAUUUCAAUAUAUGUAUACAAUGUGUAAUGAUCAAGUCAGGGUAAUUAAGCAUAUUCAUUAUCUCAAACAUUUAUGAUGUGAACAUUCAAAAUAAAAAUCCUCUCUUCUAGCUUUUUAAAAAAUACACAAUAUUUCCCUUACAGUGCUACAGAACACUAGAACUUAUUCCUCCUCUUUAGCUAUAAUUUCGUAUCUGUUAACGAACUUCUCCGUAUCCUCUCCUCCCCACUACUCUUCCUUCCCCACUACUCUUCCUUCCCCACUACCCUUCCCAGACUCUAAAAACCACAAUUAUACUCUCUAUGAGCUCUUUUUUGUUUUUUUGGCUCCUACAUAUGAGUGAGAACAUGUGGUGUUUAUCCUUCUGAGCCAUCUUAUUUCAGUUAACAUGCCCUCCAGGUUCAUCCAUGUUGCCACAAAUUAGAAGAUUUCAUUCUUUUUUAUGGCCAAGUAGAAUUCCAUUUUGUGUAUAUACACCACCUUAUCCAUUCAUCUUUUGAUGGACAUUUCAUAUCUUGACUAUUUUUAACAGUGCUACAAUAAACAUGAAGGUGCAGGAAUCUCUCUGAUACAUAGAUUUUCUUUCCUCCGGAUAAAUACCCAGUAGUGAGAUUGCUGGACUUUCUUAGCACUCAUGUUAAAAAUCAUUUGAACAUAUAGGUGAGAAGUUAUUCCUGGGCUCAAAAACAAACAAACAACAACAGACAACAGAUAAGGAUACAGCAUGGGCCGGGCACGGUUGCUCACGCCUGUAAUCCCAGCACUUUGUGAGGCUGAGGUGCGUGGAUCACCUGAGGUCAAGGGUUCAAGACCAGCCUGACCGACAGGGAGAAACCCCCGUCUCUACUAAAAAUACAACAUUAACUGGGCGUGCUAGCGCAUGCCUGUAAUCCCAGCUACUCAGGAGGUGGAGGCAGGAGAAUCGCUUGAACCCAGGACGCAGAGGUUGCAGUGAGCCAAGAUCGCACCAUUACACUCCAGCCUGGGCAACAAGAGUGAAACUCUGUCUCAAAAAAACAAAAACAAAAAACCAGCAUGAUUUCAGGAGCAGAAAGAGAAUAACUUAAAAACCAGCAUAAUGAGAAAGUUAGGAAGCUUCUUACCAAAGCAUCUGGAAGUAUGCAAGAAAUUCUUGUGAACUAAAAUUUUCGUGCUGUACUAGCAAACACUACAACUCACUUAUUCCAUCUUUCUGUAUUUUGGGACCCAAUUAUCCACUUCUCUUCAUUCCCUAUCCCACCCCUUUUCUUCCUAGCGUCUGCUAACCACCUUUAUACUCUCCACCUUCCUGAGAUUCCUUUUGUGUGUAUGUGUGUGAUGGAGUCUCUUUCUGUUGCCCAGGUUGGAGUAUACAGGCACAAUCCGGGCUCACUGCAACCUCUGCCUCCAGAGUUCAAGGGAUUCUUGGGCCUCAGCCUCCCGAGUAGCUGAGACUACAGGCACGCGUCACCACGCAUGGCUAAUUUUUUGUGUUUUUAGUAGAGACGGGGUUUCACCAUGUUGGUCAGGCUGGUCUCGAACUCCUGGCCUCAAGUGAUCCGUGCAACUCGGCCUCCCAAAGUGCUGGGAUUACAGGCCUGAGCCACCACACCUGGCCAAGAUUUUCUUUUUUGUUCCUACAUGUAAGUGAGGACAUGUAAUAUUUGUCAUUCUGUUCCUGGCUUAUUUCACUUAAUAUACAGACCUGAAAUCUCAUCCAUUUUUUCUGCAGUGGAGAGGAUUUUAGUCCUUUUUAGGCUGAAUAAUACUUCAUUGUAUGUGUAUACCAGUUUAAUUGACACAAAUUUCUAAAAAGCAAAUAUUUUUAAAAUGUCUCAGAAUGUGAAACUUUAGGGAUACUGUGCCCAUUUUAUUCUUUUCUAUUUCCCAUUUUAUGGAUAUGCAAGUGUAUAAUAAAACAGCAAUCAAUGGGUGUAUAAAUCUAUAACUUCAACAAAUGUAAAAUGAAAAUGCUAAGUGGUGGCUGGGCGCUGUUGCUCACACCUGUAAUCCCAGCACUUUGGGAGGCCGAAGCGGGCGGAUCACCUGAGGUCGGGAGUUCAAGACCAGUCUGACCAACAUGGAGAAACAGUCUGUACUAAAAAAAAAAAAAAAAAAAAAAAACAAAGUAGCUGGGUGUGAUAGUGCAUGCCUGUAAUCCCAGCUACUUGAAAGGCUAAGAGAGGAGAAUCGCUUGAAUACGGGAGGCAGAGGUUGCAGUAAGCCGAUAUCAUGCCAUUGCACUCCAGCCUGGGCAACAACAGUGAAACUCUGUCUCAAAAAAAAAAAAAAAGAAAAAAGAAAAAAGAAAAAAAGAAAAUGCCAAAUGGUAAGAAAAAACAGCAUAAUAAAAAUUUGUAUGGUGUUGAAGAACAAUGCAUUUGAAGAUAAUAUUUGAAGAAAUCAUAUUACAAUUAACUUCUGUUCUUACUCAUUGGUUUGAUGCCUCUAAAAACUUCAUCACUGGAACCACCUCUGGUGCUUUAAAAAAAAAAAAAAAAAAAAAAAAAAAAAUCCGCAUACCCACACAGGUGCAAGUAAAUCAGAAUCUCAGGUCAUGAGACCCAGGCCUCAUCAUUUGUAAGUGCCCCGGGUGAUUUGAUUCAAAGCCAAGAUUGAGGACCCGUGACAUGGAUCUCUACACAUAAUCUGCCUAAAUAGAUUCUCUACAAGCAGUUUAUAAAGAAGUUCCACAUGAACUCUGGAAGAGGAUAUGAAUUUGAUGUACAGUAUGUGCUCACUUAACAUCUUUGAAAGUCUCUUGGAAACUUCACCUUUAAGCAAAAUUAUGGAUAGUGAAACCACUUAUUCCUCAUCAACAUUACAACUAAACAACUUUGAACAAAACAAUGGUGUUGGAGGACCGGCUGUACAUUGUUUCUAUAAAGUCAAUUUUCAGGGAAUUCCAAAAUGAAGUGAGGACUUCCUGUAUAUAAAAAGAUGGUUGUGAUUCCACAUGGAUGACAGGGUUAUUGCUCAGAAACUAAAGGAGGCCGCCCAGGUAUAGAGGAUUCAGUCAUGAGGUUUAUGCUACACAAAAGAUCCCAGAAUACUCACCCAUUCCAGUCAAAGACAUAAUGAAAAAAGCAAUAUUCACAUAGG